AAUUUUGCAUUCAAUUUUAGUUAGUUCUAUUUACAACAAAUAGGCAAGAAGAAAGAAGGAAGGCCCUUAGACUUGGAACAGUUCAGGCCUGCUCUCCGAAGGCAGUUGGAACUCAUUGAAGAUGGCAGGAGGGAGAGGAUGGGGAGUAGUGAGGAGAUGGGAGAAGAAACAGAGACAGGAGAAGAGACAGAGACAGGCGAGGAGACAGGGACAGGAGAAGAGACUGGGACAGGGACAGAGAGAGACAAAGGAAAAAA
rnacentral:lncRNA from 1 species